GUUCAUACCAUUUGGUCGUAAGCUAUCCAUGCGGAAUAUGAGAUGCUAUUCCUCCAGUUUGUGCACAGCCUCACUCUGGCAAUGGUGGAGGCAAAGGACAGAAACAUCAGUAUGGGACUGGGAAUGGAGUUAAAAUGGGUGGCCACCGGGAG